AUACCUUUCUCGGCCUUUUGGCUAAGAUCAAGUGUAGUAUCUGUUCUUAUCAGUUUAAUAUCUGAUAUGUGGGUCAAUGGCCCACACGAUAUUAAAUUAAUUUAUCAAGGGUGAGUGCCCAUCACAGCAGCUUGCUGCCUGGGGUUCUCGAGCGUCGCCUCUGUGCUGCACUACUGCAUUGGCCUGGCGCGCCCUCU
rfam:Populus trichocarpa isolate Nisqually-1 chromosome 8, whole genome shotgun sequence.